ACAUCAAGUCUGCUGUUAAAGGCUGGAGCUUAACUCCGGUAGAGCAGUGGAAACUGGUGUGCUAGAGGGCGACAGGGGUAGAGGGAAUUCCCAGUGUAGCGGUGAAAUGCGUAGAGAUUGGGAAGAACACCGGUGGCGAAAGCGCUCUACUGGGUCGCACCUGACCCUCAGGGACGAAAGCUAAGGUAGCGAAAGGGAUUAGAUACCCCUGUAGUCUUAGCCGUAAACGAUGGAUACUAGGCGUGGUUUGUAUCGACCCAAGCCGUGCCGAAGCUAACGCGUUAAGUAUCCCGCCUGGGGAGUACGCACGCAAGUGUGAAACUCAAAGGAAUUGACGGGGGCCCGCACAAGCGGUGGAGGAUGUGGUUUAAUUCGAUGCAACGCGAAGAACCUUACCAGGGCUUGACAUCCCGCGAAUCCCCAUGAAAGUGGGGAGUGCCUUCGGGAGCGCGGAGACAGGUGGUGCAUGGCUGUCGUCAGCUCGUGUCGUGAGAUGUUGGGUUAAGUCCCGCAACGAGCGCAACCCUCGUCCUUAGUUGCCAGCAUUAAGUUGGGCACUCUAGGGAGACUGCCGGUGACAAACCGGAGGAAGGUGAGGAUGACGUCAAGUCAGCAUGCCCCUUAUGCUCUGGGCAACACACGUCCUACAAUGGUCGGGACAAAGGGGAGCGAGCUCGCGAGAGUCAGCGAAUCCCAGCAAACUCGGCCUCAGUUCAGAUGGCAGGCUGCAACUCGCCUGCCUGAAGGAGGAAUCGCUAGU
rnacentral:rRNA from 1 species